AGCGACCUUCGAAAAGCUUGAGAAUG
rnacentral:sRNA from 1 species